rnacentral:lncRNA from 1 species
GCCCGCCAGGCCUCCGGGCCGCCUGUGGCUCCUUAAAUCCAGGGACAGGGAGGGGACCGCGGGGCUUCGCGUCCCACCCCCAGUUCCGUAGCCUGAUGGGUGCAGUGCCGGGCGCCUGUGGCGUGGGCAGGGAGCGCAGGGUGCCCGGAGGCCUCGCGACUGAAAGUUCCAAGUCCACAAAAGUCCCACGCGUGGCCCACCGCGUUCUGGACUUUUGGGGGUGAUGUAGGGGGAGCAGGUGAGGGGUCGCGCACGUCCGAACCUGCCCCGCAUCACCGGGCGGCGGGCGCCGCGCGCUCCCGGCACACGCACCCACUCUCCGCGCGUUAUCAGGCGCGCGCCUCCGCCCCCUCGCGCGCACCCCACCCGCAGCGGCGCACACGCGCCCUCGCCCACUCCCGCGCGCUCACUCCCGCUCGUGUCCUCCAUUGCGAGCGGCCGCCGGGAUGUGCUCCAGGCCCGUCGCUGCCGAGCUCGCGCUUGUGCCCUGCGCCCCAGCAUGUCUUCUUUCAUUUCCUAAAUUUAUUAUUUUUGUCUUCACAAGUGGCCCUGUCUGGUACGAAGCUUUGGCACAGAUGGCCUCCCGGCGCUUCCCCCAGGGUCUUGUGCUGGAAGGGAACUGCCGGCUAGCAGACAGCCCUGGGCGUCCGCAGGGCUGCGAUCUCCCCGCGUGGCUGGGAGCGGGGCUCUGACUAGUGGGGACCCCCUCCCCCGCCCCGGGUGGACCCCAGCCCUGCGCCACUCGCCCGGCUCUCUGGGAAUUGCUUUUCCGUUCUAGAACCUUCCCUCUUCCCAGCCGGUGUUCUCUCGCGCGCCUCUAAUUGUGUAAGUUUCACGAAGCAACAGCUUUGGGCUCCAGGUAAAGCGCAGAAAAAUCAUACAGAGGAAGGAAGCGCACAGGUUGGAAUCGUCUCCAAAGAGACCCCGCCAUCGCUUUUGCCACCCCCUCCCAGCCAGAUUCCUGAAAAUUGGUUCUGUUUUGCUACUUGGUGGCAGGAGUAUUCACUUACAAGCAAAUGGAAGUUCUCGAGGCGUCCGAACCCUCUCAGAGGAAGCCCGCGCCCGGCUCCCCCGCAGCCUUCGGGCCCCGUGGCAGCGACUCCUCCGCUUCGGGCCACUUUGCGCGCACCGGCCCCCGCCUUUUUGUUCCUAAAGCCAUUCGCCCGCCUCCCCCAGCCCCCCAUCCCCGUCCCCCACUCUCUCCGACCCACUGGCACGAUUUCCUUAAGUCUUUCCCGGACUUAUAAACGCCACAGUCUAAUUCCGUCGACUCGUUUUGCAUUUUCUACGGUGUGCGGUCGUGGGGAGGAUCUUAAGUCCCUCCAGCGAAGGCGAAUGUCAGGCCGCGGCCCUUUAGCUGUAAGAAGCGAGCCGUCAGAUCGCAGACGUGUCCGCCAGCCGCGAGGCGCUUUGUGAGUGGGGAGACACGGCAGGCUGGGCUCGGCUGCGGCGGACGCCGGGGCUGCCACAAAGCGAGCGGCCGCGAAACCGCACGCCGAGCCCGCGGUCCGACCUGCCCGGGCGCGGGGUGCAGUCCCUGCCCAGGGCGCGCGCGGGGUGGGGCCGGCGGGGCGUAGGUGCGGCUCCACCUCGACACCCGCGCUCUCUGCGCUCGGAUUUCGUUGAGAAGAUCGAGCAAAGACUUGGACGGAAAGAGCCAGGGACGCAGCGGAAGGGGAACCUACAGAAAUUCCCCGCCAAGUCUAGGUGGUGUGGAUCUGUAAACCUUUUAAAAGAUUGACUGGGGUAUUCAAGAUCAAUAAAAUUAAAAAAAAGAAAAACA